UACGUAGGGUGCGAGCGUUGUUCGGAAUCACUGGGCGUAAAGGGCGUGUAGGCGGUCCGCUAAGUCUGAUGUGAAAGCCCUCGGCUCAACCGAGGAAGUGCGCCCGAAACUGCAGAGCUUGAGUACCGGAGAGGAUGGCGGAAUUCCCCAAGUAGAGGUGAAAUUCGUAGAUAUGGGGAGGAACACCGGUGGCGAAGGCGGCCAUCUGGACGGAUACUGACGCUGAGGAGCGAAAGCGUGGGGAGCAAACAGG
rnacentral:rRNA from 1 species